GUCACGGUGGUCUAGCGGUUAGAACGCUGGCCUUGUAAUCCUGGGGUCUCGGGUUCGAUUCCCGGCGGUGCCC
rfam:Zootermopsis nevadensis contig15478, whole genome shotgun sequence.